rnacentral:lncRNA from 1 species
CUAGCUUUUUAGAAGUCGAAGCUUUUGAUAAAACUCAACAAAAGCCUUUCUCAUUUGCUCUUCAGCUUUUCUGAGCUCUUCUUUGCUGAAUGAUAAUUUUGAGUUUGAAGUCAUGCAGCAAUUUCUUAAAGUCGAAACAGGUGUUUCCGAUUCAACAUUGAUUUGUCCAAAAUCUCUAGUGGAGCAGGCCUAAAACCCAUGGGACUCAUCUUUGUUUUAUUUUUUUCCCUUGUUGUUGCUUCCUCUUCCAGAACUUCUUCAGUGUUCAUCUCAACUUCUUGAAUUGCCUCCAUUUCUGGACUAUCUACAUUGGGGUUAAACAAGAAUUCGAACAAAUUAAAGGGCAAUCAUUGGAUGGAGCAAUAAAGCAAGUGGCAACAGCUGGGAUGUCAAACCGUCUCGUAUUUGCCCUUGACUUUAACGAAGUUCCAGCAUAAAAAGAGUGGAUUUCAAGUGUCAAAAUACUACACGGGAAAAAGGUCUAAAUUGAGACAUCUACUUUUGACUAUGGUUUAAAGUCACUCUACAUUAUACUAAAAGGUUGAAGCUCCAUUUUUUUCAAAAGCAAAUGCGGAAUGGUUUUGUUGCGACAAAGGUAUGAAUGACCCCAAAUAUAACCAGAGGCGGAACCAGAAUUUGAAGUUUAUGGGUUUGGGAUUAUAGUUCGUUUAAGCUACUGGAUUCUAAAUUAAUAUAUUGUACUAAGGAUUUUUUAAGACAAAUAUGUGGUUUAGACCAAAGUUAUUGGGUUCGACUGAACCCGUAUUUAACAUGCUUGCUCCACCCCUAAAUAUAACGAAGGAUAAAAUAAAGAUACUCAAUAUAGCAAGGGGUAAUCCCCCCCCCCCUUCCCCCCUCCCCCCAAUAUUUUCCAAAAAAGAUGGAACAGGAACAUAGUAGCCAAAGUAUCUGCACUUACUUGGACUAGUCAAAUGAAUAGGAUCCACUGAUGCUGGAGACAAGGUACUACUAUUAUCAUUGCUUGAAGGAUCCAUCACUUGGGCUGUGUGCAUUCCAAUUGAAGGCUUAUCAACCUUGAUUCUUAGAGCAAUAAGUGCUUCCAUUUGUAUACUCAACUUAUCAGCCUCAACCUUCACUUCUCUUACUUUUUCCUGGUAAAAGGUUAGCACUUUAUUGAAUUCAUCAUCCAAUCUCCUAAAGAAAACCAGCUCAUAUUCUCCACCUUCUUCACAGACACAAAGAAAGUGGUUUCAAAAUCACCUUCUGAAUUCACUACUGUCACUUCAUCUUCAUUAUUUUUCCUAGGAGAACUUUUGAAACUGUUUUGUAGUCCACUAAAUGCUCUGUACAUAGAUAGCCUUUUCCUUAAAGAGCCUUUUGGGGUGACUGCAACUUGUGGUAAUGGUGCAUUCUUCUUUUUGAAUUUCAAGAUUUUUUUCAACUCAUUCUUAAGAGAAUUAUAAUCCAUGUAAGCUUCUUGCCAUUCAUGGACCAUUUGGGAUGCAUAUUCUUUCCCAAAUUUCAUCUCUAUCAAAGCUGAUUGAUUACUCUAUGCUUUUUCUUGAGGAAAAAAAUGGACUUUAUUUGUUUUACCAAAUCCAAAAAAUGAAAAGAUUGGUCUUUUAUAGAGGAUUUGGCGUCUAGCCAUCAUAAGAGAAUAUGGUCAACAAUCAACUUGUUAAAAGGGACUAUGUCUUAGCUGGUUUUGUUCUCUCAUGCAGAGAACUAUUUGAACUGCUAUUAAAGGCACCCCACGUCCCAACAAAUAACAACUUGUGAUGUUUGGUCCCGGAGACUACUCAGUGGGUACAUGCUUGUCUCUUACUAGCAAAAAAUAUCGGAUAAUUCUAUCUAUCAAGACUUAGACAAUAUGCGAAGAAAUCACAUUAUGUUUUUUUUGUCUAUGCAAAGAUUGAAACUUUGAGCUUUCAUGAUUCUCACCUACUUUGUUGAACGCCACACCACUUAACAGGAAAGUUCCCUAGAUCUUCGUGAAGUUUAGUGGUAACACCAAUGAUGACAUAAACCGUCUUUUAUCGCUGAAAACAAGAGCAUACCAACUGUAGAAAGAUUUGUUUUUCACUGUAAAAUAAGUAUUGAUUAAGCAAAUGCACGAUUUAAUAAAUCUUCGCACCAUUUCUCCUCUCAAUCUUCCCACUACUGCCCUCAAAUUCCUUCAAAAUUACCUCUUUUGUUUUCACUCCUAAUGCACCAUUUUUAUACAGAUGAGACCCUUUUCUUAAUCUUUCACAUUACUGUAAAGAUUUAGCAGAAAGAUAAGCGAAGCUACUGAUGCUCUCAAGAGCUAAAAUAAGUAAUGAAAAAUUUGCACAUUACACUGACUGAAUUAUCAACUUCUUGAAUCCUCUUUUGGUAUAAUAUAGAAGUUUCACAUUUACAAAAAAAAAAAUUAGUGUCAAACCUGGCUGGUAAUUUGAUCUGCCAAGAAGAAAUCUGGUAGAGUAACCUACAAAAUGAUGUAAGACGUUUCAGUAUCUAUGUACUUCCUGUGAUAUUACUAAUGCGCGUGAAUCUGUAUAUCGAUUAAAUAAGCUGCCGUUACCUUAUAAAGGAGAGCACAUAGACAGUGCCAGGCACAUCUUAUAAGGAAGAAACGACUUGAACGAUAUAUGAUGUUCAGAGGACAAAAAGUUAUUAGAAGCAGAACCUGAAGGAAAAAAAUUAAGAUCAUUAGGGGGUAUGAAAUAUUUUGAAAACAUAUUGUAUAGAUCAGUUAUAGAAUGAAAGUAGAAGAAGAAGUAAUGUUUUUUCUAGACUUACAACCACCAGGGCAAGUGGUAUUAGCUCAGUUACUGUCCCAAAACUUCUUGUUUUUGGAUCCAUCUCCAUAUCCAGGUUGGCCUAUGCUGCAGCUAAUGCAAGUACUGCAAGACCAGAAGCAAGGAGAAGAACUUGUCUGUAACCUAGUUAUGUUCCUUGCUUAAAGCCAAAUAUGAAGGGAUAAUUGACCCGAAAACGCCUCCAGUAGUAUAUGUUCCCCGCGUACAUGAGCAUAUGGAGGACAAUGAAUCCGAAUAGGCUGAAACGAUACGACUUUAUUACUCAUAUGUAUUGCUUAAAACAUGAUUUCGCUUAAUGUAGAAAGACACGGAAAGAAUCAAUACGAUUUUGUAAAAGACAGAUGGUUAGUUCACCUGUAGAGUGAAAAUAUGUUAUCCAUCUACUGCCCACGACCCUUGUGCUCUAGAAGGUUUCCUGCACGUAUCGAUACAACAAUAGCUGCCACUAAUGCAAUUGAGCAGCCAGAGAACAAACCUAUAGGUGAAAAGUAUAUCAGUUACUAAAACUGAACAUUGUUGAUUUGCAUAUGUAUUACAUAGUUCGAACUGAAUGCAAUGAACUCAGUUAAUGCUAAUAAGGAUGCAUGCUUACCCAUGAAAAAUGUUACUCUAUGUGUUUCUCUUUUAGCUUGCGGUCUUAAAGUUUUCAUUCCUUUCCUUUGAUUUCCAUUGACAAAAUGCUUUAUGAAUGUGGCCUCGACUCUUUCUAUGAGCUUAGAAACCUAUGAUAGCAAAGAUCAAUGAGAAGUUCAAACUACAGUUUCAACUGAAAGGAAAACAGUUUCUGAAACUGAAAGAAAUAUACCUCAUCCGAGCUACCAAGAUAAGAUUUAUCAACCAUCUCUAGGUAUGAUUUAGAAGCUUUCCUUGAGGUUACCUGUAUCAAUAAAUUGCAAGGUUAAAAAGGCCAAACUUUAUACGAGUACUUUCUAUUGCCAAAUCUUCAAUGUAGUACCUUAUCAUACUUCUUCAUGAUCUUGGAAAAUGCCAACAUAUUUAAGAAACUGGCACAUUAAGUAGUUAAAUAUGAGUUGAGUUGAAGACAAACAAUACUAAAUUCCUCAUUUAUGCAGGCGAAAAAAUGCGCCAUUACCAGUAGCUUUUUAGAAGUCGAAGCUUUUGUUAAAACUCAACAAAAGCCUUUCUUAUUUGUUCUUCAGCUUUUCUGAGCUCUUCUCUGCUGAACGAUAAGUUCGAAUUUGAAGUCCUGAUAACUUUUCUUAAAUUCGAAACAGGUGUUUCGGGUUCAACAUUGAUUCUUACAUGAUCCAAGAUCUCUAGUGGAGCAGGCCUAAAUUCAUUCAUCUUUGCUGUAUCUCUUCUCUCUGAUGUUGCUUCCUUUUCCAGACUUUCUUCACUUGUCAGCUCUACUUCUUGAAUUGCCUCCAUAUGUAACCUACCUAUAUUUGUGUAAAAUCAAGAAUUACAACAACAACAACAACACACAGCGUAUUUCCACAAGUGGGGUCUGGAGAGGGUAGUGUGUACGCAGACCUUGUACCUACCUUUAUAAAGGCUUAGAGGCUGUUUCCGGUAGUGUAAAAUCAAGAAUUACAACAACACAAUAACAAACUUAGUGUAGUGCCACAAGUGAGGUCUGGGAGGGUAGUGUGUAGGCGGACCUUAUCCCUACCUUUAAAAAGGCGGAGAGACUGUUUCCGGUAGUGUAAAAUCAAAAAUUCAAACAAAUAAAAUGGCAAAUCAUGGGAUGUAGAAACAAAG